CAUCAUGCUUGAUCUUAUAUAUCCAUCUUACUCCAAUAGCUUUGUAACACUGCAAUAUUCCCACAUCGGAUGGGAUACUGAUUUCGAUCAGUUUAUAUGAGGCCUACACACUAGUAAUAAUAACUGGGCUUAAGAAUUUUGGGCCGAUGGUUUGGGCACAACGAGUUAUUAUUGCUAGCGGGUCGGGUCGUUACAUUUGGUAUCAGAGCCGAAUACCAGCCGGAAGUGUAAGAGCUAAGU
rnacentral:lncRNA from 1 species